UAAACUAGGAUUAGAUACCCUAUUAUUGAAAAUGUAAAUUAAUAUAUAUAUAUAUACUUGAUUAGUAUUAGUUAUGUUCUUGAAAUUUAAAAAAUUUGGCGGUAUUUUAGUCUUUUCAGAGGAACCUGUUCUAUAAUUGAUAUUCCACGAUUAAUUUUACUUAUUUUAUUUGUUUUGUAUAUCGUUGUAGAUUGAAUAUUUUAAUAGAAUUUAUAAUAUUCAAAAUUUAUUAUAAUAAAGUAUAUCAGAUCAAGGUGCAGAUUAUAGAUAAGAAGAAAUGGGUUACAAUAAAUUUAUUUAAAUGGUUAAUAUAUUUAAAAUUAUAUUAUAAAGUGGAUUUGAAUGUAAUAUUAUUUAGUUUAAUUUUAUGAUUUUAGCUCUAAAAUAUGUACAUAUCGCCCGUCGCUCCAACUUUAAAGUUGGAUAAGUCGUAACAAAGUAGACUUACUGGAAAGUGAGUCUAGAUUGACAAAUUAAAGCUUGAUUAUAAAGCAUUUUAUUUACAUUAAAAAGUUAGUCGUGUAAUUCGAUUUAAUUUGAUAAUAAUUUAGUUAUUAGAAAAUUUUAAUAAAAUAUUAUUUUUUAUAGGUAUUUUUUUAGAAUAUAAAUAAUUUUAUUAUAGUUUAUUUGUAUAGUGAUAGAUUAAUGAAAUAGAUAUUUUAAUUUAAAAAAAAAAAUAUUAGUAUUUUGUAUCUUGUGUAUCAGAGUUUAUUAAAAAAAACUUAUUUAUUUAAUAUUCUCGAAUUUUUAAGAGUUAAUAAUUUAUUUAUUUAAUUGUAAUAUAAAUUUUUAUAAUUUAUUAUUAGAAAUGAAAUGUUAGUCGUUUAAAGAUAUAUCUAGUUUUUUAAGAAAUAAAUUUAAUUUAAUUAUUUAAAUAUAUUUUUUUAAUUAAAUAAUAUUAUAUUUUAAGUAUUAAAUAUUUUAAGGGAUAAGCUUUAAAAUUUAAGGUUAUAAAUUUUAAUUAUAUUAAGUUAUUAUAGAAUUAGAAGUUUUUAUUAUUUAUUGUGUUAUAAUUAUAAAAUUUUUUAAUAUAAUUUAUAUUUAUUUUAAUUUUUUUAUUAAAAUUAAGUAUUUAAUGGUUUAAUAUUUGUAUUAAUGAUAAAAUUAGUAUAAUAUUAAUUUUUUUUUAAUGUAUGAUAUUUAGGUUAAAUUAAGGAAUUAGGCAAAUUAAUUUUUCGCCUGUUUAUUAAAAACAUGUCUUUUUGAUUAUAAUUUAAAGUCUAAUCUGCCCACUGAUAUUUUAAAGGGCCGCAGUAUUUUGACUGUGCAAAGGUAGCAUAAUAAUUAGUUUUUUAAUUGAAAGCUGGAAUGAAUGAUUGGACGAGAAAAUGGCUGUUUUAGUUUUAUUUUUAUUAGAACUUUAUUUUUAAGUUAAAAAGCUUAAGUAAAUUUAAAAGACGAGAAGACCCUAUAGAGUUUUAUAGUUAUAUAUAUAUAUAAUUUUUAGGGUUUUAAUUUUUAUAUAUUAAAAACUAUUUUAUUGGGGUGAUAUAAAAAUUUAAAGAACUUUUUAUUUGAUAAUUUAUUAAUGAAUAUUUUAUUGAUCCAUAUGUAGUGAUUAUAAGAUUAAAUUACCUUAGGGAUAACAGCGUAAUUAUUUUUUAGAGUUCUUAUCGAAAAAAUAGAUUGCGACCUCGAUGUUGGAUUAAAGUUAAUUUUUGGUGUAGAAGCUAAAAAAAUUAGGUCUGUUCGACCUUUAAAAUUUUACAUGAUCUGAGUUCAAACCGGAGA
rnacentral:rRNA from 1 species